CACGCAGGCGGUUUUUUAAGUCAGAUGUGAAAGGUACCGGCUCAACCGGUGACAUGCAUUUGAAACUGAAAGACUUGAGUAUUGGAGAGGCAAGCGGAAUUCCCAGUGUAGCGGUGAAAUGCGUAGAUAUUGGGAAGAACACCAGUGGCGAAGGCGGCUUUCUGGACUGUAACUGACGCUGAGGCCCGAAAGCUAGGGUAGCGAACG
rnacentral:rRNA from 1 species